GAUGAACGCUAGCGGCAGGCUCAAUACAUGCAAGUCGUGGGGCAGCGCAGUGUAGCAAUACAUGGGCGGCGACCGGCAAACGGGUGCGGAACACGUACACAACCUUCCUUCAAAUGGGGAAUAGCCCAGGGAAACUUGGAUUAAUACCCCGUAACAUUAUGAGGUGGCAUCACUUAUAAUUAUAGCUCCGGCGUUGGUAGGUGGGUGGUGCGGCUGAUUAGGUAGUUGGCGGGGAACGGGCCCACCAAGCCUUCGAUCAGUAACUGGUGUGAGAGCACGACCAGUCACACGGG
rnacentral:rRNA from 1 species